rnacentral:rRNA from 1 species
AUUGAACGCUGGCGGCAGGCUUAACACAUGCAAGUCGAGCGGAGAGAGGUAGCUUGCUACUGAUCUUAGCGGCGGACGGGUGAGUAAUGCUUUGGAAUCUGCCUAUUAGUGGGGGACAACAUUUCGAAAGGAAUGCUAAUACCGCAUACGUCCUACGGGAGAAAGCAGGGGAUCUUCGGACCUUGCGCUAAUAGAUGAGCCUAAGUCGGAUUAGCUAGUUGGUGGGGUAAAGGCCUACCAAGGCGACGAUCUGUAGCGGGUCUGAGAGGAUGAUCCGCCACACUGGGACUGAGACACGGCCCAGACUCCUACGGGAGGCAGCAGUGGGGAAUAUUGGACAAUGGGUGCAAGCCUGAUCCAGCCAUGCCGCGUGUGUGAAGAAGGCCUUAUGGUUGUAAAGCACUUUAAGCGAGGAGGAGGCUACUUUAGUUAAUACCUAGAGAUAGUGGACGUUACUCGCAGAAUAAGCACCGGCUAACUCUGUGCCAGCAGCCGCGGUAAUAC